rfam:Neotoma lepida isolate 417 scaffold_323, whole genome shotgun sequence.
UGGCUCAGCAGUUAAGAGCACUGGCUGCUCUUCCAGAGGACCUAGGUUCAAUUCCUAG